rnacentral:rRNA from 1 species
UAAUACGGAGGGUGCAAGCGUUGUUCGGAAUUACUGGGCGUAAAGCGCGCGUAGGUGGUCUGUUAUGUCAGAUGUGAAAGUCCACGGCUCAACCGUGGAAGUGCAUUUGAAACUGGCAGACUUGAGUACUGGAGGGGGUAGUGGAAUUCCCGGUGUAGAGGUGAAAUUCGUAGAUAUCGGGAGGAAUACCGGUGGCGAAGGCGACUACCUGGCCAGAUACUGACACUGAGGUGCGAAAGCGUGGGUAGCAAACGGGAUUAGAUACCCCGGUAGUCCACGCCGUAAACGAUGUCAACUAGUCGUUGGACCCCUUGAGGGUUUAGUGACGCAGCUAACGCAUUAAGUUGACCGCCUGGGGAGUACGGUCGCAAGACUA